GUGGAUGCUAGUGAUGAUAGUGGAAAUGGAUUGAAUGACCAAUCUUAGUUCAUGAAGUGUAGUACGUGACUCUUAUUGUGCAUGCUUAUUUCUUCAAUGGUUCAGGAAGGGUCACUGCAAGCCGGCUUUGCGUUCCUAUUAGGAGAGAGCAUCUCUUCAGAAACGGACACCACUAGUCCUGUAAUGAUGUCUACUGCAUCAGCACCGACAAAGAUGACACCAAAGAGAUGGCUAAAUAUUGAAUGAAUGAUUUUAUCAGUGAUGAGAUGUAUUCAGAAUUUAUUUGAUAUGUGAUGCAACUUGUUUAGAACAAAAUUAUGGUUUCUUGAGAUAAACUUGUUUAGGCUAAUUUGUGAGAUGAACUCAUGAUUAUUGUGCUUA